rnacentral:rRNA from 1 species
CAAUAGCGUAUAUUAAAGUUGUUGCGGUUAAAAAGCUCGUAGUUGGAUUUCUGCCGAGGACGACCGGUCCGCCCUCUGGGUGUGUAUCUGGUUUGGCCUGGGCAUCUUCUUGGAGAACGUAGCUGCACUUGACUGUGUGGUGCGGUGUCCAGGACUUUUACUUUGAGGAAAUUAGAGUGUUUCAAGCAGGCACACGCCUUGAAUACAUUAGCAUGGAAUAAUAAGAUAGGACCUCGGUUCUAUUUUGUUGGUUUCUAGAGCUGAGGUAAUGAUUAAUAGGGAUAGUUGGGGGCAUUCGUAUUUAACUGUCAGAGGUGAAAUUCUUGGAUUUGUUGAAGACGGACUGCUGCGAAAGCAUUUGCCAAGGAUGUUUUCAUUGA